UCAUGUGUUUCAAACAGAGCUUCUACAUUUGCCGGUCGUUAUGCGUUGGUUUGUAUUUGUAACCUAUCAAGCAGAUGAAGUUACGGACACAUGCAGUGCGUUUUCCCCUAUCACAGUAAGAUCCCUUGUGAAGUUCCAUUACAGCCAAACACCAAACACCUCUGUUGUACAGGAACUGCUGCAUAGGUAGCCAGCAAGCCAGGCAGCUUUGCAGUUGCCAUUUAAUACCAUGGCCAAGCUGCAAGGAAGCACCACUGGUAGCACCUAUCUUCAAGAGAUGUGUCAAACAGAUCCCACGGCUUCUUUGGCAACAGUACUGAGCAGUUUCUGAGAAGCAGCCAGGCUGUCCUCAGGUAAAAUAUAUUGUG